rnacentral:lncRNA from 1 species
UUUUUUUUUUCCCUCUAACCUGCCCUGGUUUUGUCAGGAGCAUUUUUAUUUCAUGUGAUUUUUAAGAAUACCAGAAAUUAGUAAUUUUAAGAUGGAUAAUGACUGACUUGUGACGGCAGCUGUGCUAGUAGGGGACUGCAAUCACUGUUAGCGUUUUCCAUUAUUUCGUUACAUUAUUUUGUCAUAUUUCCCUCAAUCCUAAUUUCUCUGAAUUUAUCAGCUUUGGAGUUGAAUUACCACCAGAAUGACACACUUCUCUAACUUACUGUUUCUUCCAUUAAAGAAUUGAAAAAUACCAACUUUUAAGUAAUUGGAUCAAAGAAUAUUGCAUAGAAUUCUGUCAUGUUCGUGAGACCCCUUCUCUACACCAUUUCCCUUCUGAACAAGUCAAAAAUAAUGCAAAAAUCUUUCACCUAAUGAGAAAGGCACAAAAUUUGUUUUCCUUUUUAGCCAUAAGAUAGAUCUUUUCCUAUCACAGCAAGUUUAUUACUAAAGGACUCGCUAAUGCAUGAUAUGGGCAGAGUGCACUGAUACAGGUUCCUUUAAAGAGUGGCUCUGUUUAUAGGCAUUUUAGACAUGAAUAAAUAAAAUUGUAAAGUUCUAUGUCAUCAACAGCAGUUGUAAUUAAAUGCAUUUCUGCCAAUACACAUGUGCAAUUCUGUUGGCUGAAGUCUGUAUCCUCAAAAAUGGACGCAUAUUGACAAUCCCAUUGUAUGACCCCUUUGCCGAGGGAUACUCUUCCCUUGCUUUUAGCAAACAAAGUACUACACUUUUUUUCUUCCCUAACCAUCCAGAGAGAAAAAAAAUGACAAUAUUAACUGCACUAUAAAGGUACUUCUGUUAAGAUAGCCUGGGCCUUUCAUUUGCAGCUUUAGUAAGAGCAUAGAACUGGAAACAGAAAGAGAAAAUAAACUUGCUUUUAGAGAACCUCAGGAAAAACCAGACUCUGGCAUUAUGGACUUUCUGAAAACUGCCUGUGCUUUUAUCCAUCAGGAAAAGAAGCGUUGUAAGGAGGGCCCUGCUGCCAUGCUCUGUGCCCUACAAAACGACUGCCCCAUGAGGUGAGCCCCACAUCACAUGCGCCUGGAUAACACCUUAUUUCCUGUGUAAGCAGUGACCCAAGAGGGUAAAAAGCCACCGUGCUACUCUUUGGCAUUCCUUCUCCUCCAACUUUUUAUCCUUUUAAUUAAGUAAAAAAAAAGUUAUUCUAAUACACAUUUUCCUAAAGCAUUACUGCCAAAUGCUGCACUCGAUCGGAAAUACAGGUAAAACCUUUCAGUGUUCAGUCUCUAAACUGGGGAGGUCUCUGCCAGUUUGGAAAGCCAGUAGGUAACUCAUCUCCAACAAAGAGAAUCUCAGCAGUAGUUCAAGCUAACCCAUUUUACUUUCCACUGAAACAGGAAAGCAGCUGUGACCUUGGCUAAAAACCGGGAACAAACAGCUGGGAACAUCACUUCAACACUACAAGCUCGACUGGAGGGUGCUCGUCUGCCCCUGCCCUUAAAUAAGGUGGCCACCAAGGAACCCAAAGUGACCCCCAGCAGGAUGGGCUGGGUCACCCCAAUAGCAUCUCAGCAGGCUAAUCCACAUUCAAUGCAGAUCAUUAAAUAUGAAACAACAAAAGGAGCUAAGCCAUUAAUAAAGUGCCAAAAAUAUAGGAAAUACUGACAGCAUUUUAUUUGAUUAAUUUUAUAAUAGAGACCAAUGACAACCCUUGGCAGGAUGGAGUGACUUCUGACUUAUGAAUGCUGUCUUUAUCCAGCAAAAUUACACAAUUCAAAUGUAAUAAUGGAGCUUAGAAUUAACAGUUAGUGUUAUAAAAGAAAGAUUUCCUCUAGGGCAAGCUACAGAUAUGCUUUUUAAAAAUCAUUACAGCAUUAAAAACUGGGCAGACGCUAAAGAAUCCUACAGAACUAGUGGAAACCUGAAAAGCAAAACAAAAAUAAACAUAAAAAAACCAGAAGAUCUAAGUUUCAAGGCACUUACGUAUUGCUUAUUAAGAAGAGAGACUGACCUUAAGUGCUGCAUUUGCGUUCAACCUACGAAUACAGUUCUGCUGUCGUACAAUGCAGCAAGAGCUCUCAGUAAGCAUCAUGGAAUGCAAUCAUAUAGACACAGGCACAAGAACAGUUUGGGGAAUAUUAAUUUAAAGAACAAAAAUAAAUCUUCAAACAGAAAAAAACCCCUCACUAUGGAGAAAGCCGAGAGUAACCACUUGACUGCAUCAAGCACCUGGAUCUCAAAUCAGCAGACAAGGACAGUAGAGACAGACUGGCAAGUGUAUUGCCUAUAAAAAAACCCAACCUGAACCAAACAACAACAAAGAAAAAAAAUAAAGAACAUAAGAAAAUAUCUGCGUCUUCCAGUGACAAGUUUUGCUUCUUGCCUGAAGACACAUCUUGUUAUGACUUGUAUUAAGGUAUGUGUAUUUUUACCAGGACGUGCAUUUAUCGAUGGAGCUGUGCUUUGUAAGUCAAACCAGGACACUGUACACAUACAGAGAGGUAACACUUUGCUUCACCAUGUUAUUUCCCUCGCUGGCUGUUCCCGCGGACUAACUGCACUCCAGAUCAGAAGCCAUAACCGCUUCCAGCACGUGCUGUCACACACUGGUGUCUGUUAUUACAAAUCGCCUCCUCAGCUCAUCAUAGAAAGGGGCAGUUGCUCUCUCUGUUUCUCAAUUUUAGGUUUGCAUCACAAGUCCCCAAUUACCCAAGGAGGUAUCCUGAAACAGCUAGCAGUAAAAAUAGGAAAUAAAUCCCUGCCUUUCAGCCUCCUAGAGCCUUCUUUUCUCAAUCAUGAAAAGGACUGAUUUUAGUGUACUGAUUCUUAAUUUGUGAAAACUUGCGCUAAGUGCUGCUGUUGCAUGUUAAGAGACUGUAAAUGAAAUACAUAAGUUCUAAAACAUCAUGCAAGAAAUGUGGUUUCACAUCUUACAGUCAAAAAUCCUACUAAUGAAUUAAUACAAGCACACUGAGGUGUAAUAUUGGGAACAUACCUUUAAAGUCGGAACUCCUCUCCCCAUCCCUCCCUCCCCCAAAAUCAGAAAAGUAAUAUUAAUUAAACUUAAGAAGUAAUGAAUGCACCAUUAAAGUGUCAUCAAAAAGAUGCUGACCUAAGACAAAAGUUCAAUGAUACACAAUACGGUCAAAAAGUCUUCAAUCAAUAAUAUACAGUAUGACAACUACAUCUUGUAAAUUAUACCCAAUACUGCCGGCAGUCUAUCCCUCUAAAGAAUAUUUGCCCCCUUUCAUCCCUUCCUAACAAUCAGAUAAUAAAAUACAGCACCUAUAAAUAAGCAAAAAAAAAAAAAACCAAAAACAAAACAAAAAAUUAUAUAUAUAUAUAUAUUUAUAUAUAUAUAUAUUCCGAAAUCAUCUAUUGUUAGUUUUAAAGAUAUGGCAAUAAAGGAGUCUAAAUUAGCAAACUUGUAGAAGCCAUAACUGAUAAAACAGCUUAUUGAAAAAAGGUGGCAGUAAUGCACUCUAUGUGUGCACAAGUACGUAAGAAAAUACACAGACGUAUAAAAUUGCACGCACACACUCACGCACACACAUCCUUCCACACACCUCUAUGCUCACGCAUAUACAUAUAGACAACAGGAGGAGUUAGAGACAAGUUAGAAUUUGAUUUGUACUUUGAUCAGCCCUAACCUGUGCAUAAGAAAAUGGAAAAAAGGCUGUGUUUCUGCAGGGCAGAAUGGUCUAGACUGGGACUCGAGAGCACGAAGGUUUUGGUUUGGAGUUUGGGCUGUUUCCAUCCUGGUAAGAGCCCAUCUGGUCAUUGCCAUGUACUCUUUAUCCACGCAAAAAUAAGCUUCCCACAACUAAAACGUAUUUAAAAUCAGUGCUUGUGGUGGGAAGAGAGUCAGUAAAUGGCCACCAACAGCAGGAAAAGGUCUCUAUCUGAGGCAGCUCCAGUCCCCUCUUAGUGGUGUGUGUGACAGCAAUCGUACACGUGAACUACGUUUUAAUCGAUUCCAGGUAAGCUGAAUGUUUCGGGAUACGGGAUUCGUCCCGAAGUAGCAGGCUGAAAUGUUACUGGCCAACGUUUUUUGAGCGCUCUGUCUUUACUGAAAGGAAAUUCUGUACACUACGAACCAAGUGAAAUGAUCAAGUACAUGCUGUUUCUAAGUUGUCUCCUAAACCUCCUAGAUAUGAGGUCUGAUCAGCGUGCUCUGUGGUUAGAGGUUAAAAAGCAGAUUAUAAAAUACCUAGAUUCAGAUUUUAUUUUUUUUUGUCCUGAUUUGGCCUAAAAUGGAGUGUAUUAAACAAAUUCUGGUCUGCAAAAGACCAGAAUCAGUUAAAGCUAUGAAACAAUGUGCACUACGUGUCAAUAUUCUAUUUCACUUACAAGAAAACACUAAGUCAGCUACCACAAAUUAAGAUAUUU